UACGUAGGUGGCAAGCGUUGUCCGGAUUUACUGGGCGGAAAGAGCGCGCAGGCGGUUGAUUACGUCGAAUGUGAAAGCCCCCGGCUCAACUGGGGAGGGUCAUUCGAUACUGAUCGACUUGAAGGCAGGAGAGGGUAGUGGAAUUCCCGGUGUAGUGGUGAAAUGCGUAGAUAUCGGGAGGAACACCAGUGGCGAAGGCGACUACCUGGCCUGUUCUUGACGCUGAGGCGCGAAAGCUGGGGGAGCAAACGGG
rnacentral:rRNA from 1 species